CUAAUACCGCAUGUGGUUAUCGGAUUUAGAAACUGAUAACUAAAGGAGCAAUUCGCUUUGGGAGGGACCUGCGUCCCAUCAGCUAGUUGGUGAGGUAAUGGCUCACCAAGGCUACGACGGUAGGGGACCUGAGAGGGUGACCCCCCACAAUGGAACUGAAACACGGUCCAUACACCUACGGGUGGCAGCAGUAGGGAAUAUUGCACAAUGGGCGAAAGCCUGAUGCAGCAACGCCGCGUGUGCGAUGAAGGCCCUCGGGUCGUAAAGCACUUUUCUGAGAGAUGAGCAAGGACAGUAUCUCAGGAAUAAGUCUCGGCUAACUACGUGCCAGCAGCCGCGGUAAAACGUAGGAGGCAAGCGUUAUCCGGAUUCACUGGGCGUAAAGCGCGUGCAGGCGGUUCGGUAAGUUGGGUAUGAAAUCUCCUGGCUUAACUAGGAGAGGUUAUCCAAUACUACCGGACUUGAGAGUGGUAGAGGAAGAUGGAAUUCCCGGUGUAGUGGUGAAAUGCGUAGAUAUCGGGAG
rnacentral:rRNA from 1 species